rnacentral:lncRNA from 1 species
CAGUGUCUCCGGCGUGUCCUGCAUCUCGGCAGCCAGCUCCUCUGCAGCUCAGGCCCCGUGAGUCACAGCCGCUUCCUCAAAUGCUUUGGCUGACCGCAUCCCCCCGCUCCGCCAGAACCCUGGAUGCCGGAGCCCUCCCAGCGAGAGCCGUGUUUAUUUUACUUUACAUACAUUUUCCAACCCGGAGCGGCUUCAACACAUGCAGCUCUUAGGCCCGGGCCGCACAUCUCAGAAGCCCCGUGUGCGACUUUGACUGCCGCACGAUCCUCUGCCGGGGGAGGUGGGCCCGCUGCGCUUUGGGAGCACCCGCGCCCGACACUGAGGUCUCGGUGCUGUCUUCGGCCUCUUCGCCCCUGAGGGUCCCCUCUGGGAGCAGAGGCGGUCGGAAAACCCUGGGGCUGAAGUGCAGGCUUCGGGAGGACGCGACCUGCCAAGAUCAGCUCCCGGCACGUGAUGGGAGCCUGGCUCACCUUCCCCCAGCACACGAUGGGGCUGCAGCCUCCCCGGUCAGCCUGGCCUGCUGGAAAGGAGCAGCUCUGUCUCCAGAGGCUUCUGGCGAAGCCCAUGGCCUCCCAAUGUUGGCUGAUUUAUAAGGAAAGAGGGGAAAGGCCAAGUGUGGAUGCCAUUAGCAUAACCUAAUCCAGACCCCAUGACAAGUCCAGGAUCCUGCAGGGAGAGGGCAUCCUUGAACGUGAAGGACUGGGUUUGGAAACUUGGCCUCCCGGAAGAAAGGUCUCCGGGCCCACCCACACCCCCCUUGUGGACGCCCCCGCAGUCUAAUACACUCCACAGUAAGACGGACCAGGAACAGCAGCAGCCUCCGGUGUCGGCCCAGUGAUCCGGGAGCUCAGAGUGUAGGUACCUGACGGCUUGACUCGUCCCCAGGACAAGGCCUGUGAGUGGGAGAGGGGCACUCUGAGUGUGCGAAUCUGUGAGAGUGUGUGUGUGUCUGGGCACGAGUGUGUAUGCGUGUGUGUGCAUGUAUAUUCACAUGUGUGAGGGUGUGAAUGUGUGUGUCUGUGGGUCUGGGCACAUGAGUGUGUGUGUGCAUAUACUACAUUCACGUGUGAGUGUGCAAAUGCGAGUGUGUCUGUAGGUCUGGGCACGUGUAUGCGUGUGUGUGCGAGUACUAUAUUCGCAUGUGUGAGUGUGCGAAUGUGUGUGUCUGUGGGUCUGGGCACACGAGUGUGUAUGCGUGUGUGUGCAUGUACUAUAUUCACGUGUGUGAGUGUGCGAAUGUGUCUGUGGGUCUGGGCACAUGAGUGUGUGCAUAUACUAUAUUCACGUGUGUGAGUGUGCAAAUGUGUGUCUGUAGGUCUGGGCACAUGUGUAUGCGUGUGUGUGCGAGUACUAUAUUCACGUGUGUGUGAGUGCGAAUGUGAGUGGGUGUGGGUCUGGUCACAUGUAUGUAUGCAUGUGUGCAUGUAUUAUAGUCAUGUGAGUGUGCAAAUGUGUGUGUGGGUCUGGGCACACAAGUGUGUAUGCAUGUGUUUCUAUUGUAUUCAUGUGAGUAUAAGUGCAAAUGUGUGAGUGUGUGUUCUCUGCACACACAAGUGUAUAGGUAUGUGUUUGUGUGUGCAUGCACUGUAUUCAUGUGAGUGUAUGUGAAUGUGUGACUGUGAGAGUUUGAGUGUGCCUGGGUGUCUGGCUAUACUAGUGCAUGUCUGUGUUCGUGUGCAUCAGUCUGGGUGUGCCCGUGUGUGAAUGUGUCUAUGCGUGGGUGUCCCAAUAUGUGUGUGCCUGUGUAUCCAUGUCUGGGUGUGCCUGUGAGUGUGAGUGUGCGCAUGGGUGUCUGGAUAUGUGAGUGCUUGUGACUACCUGUGUGUGUAUCCAUGUCUAGGUGUGCCCGUGGGUGUGAGUGUGUCUGUGCGUGGGUGUCUGGAUACGUGUGUGCCUGUAUGAGUGUGUAUCCAUGUCUGGGUGUGCCCACGGGUGUGAGUGUGAAUAUGUAAGUCUUGCGUGUGCAUGAGUGUGUUCACAUGAGUGUGAGGGUCUGUGCAUAAGAGCCUAUUGUGAGUGCAUGUGGAUUGCAUUUAUGUGAGUCCGUGUCUGUGUGCACGCACGUGUCCCCGCACAAGCCAGCCCGAGAGGGAGUGUCCCCUGAACACACCCUGGCAGCACUUGCAGCGUGAUGAGGUUGAGGGAAUGUGUCGCUGAGGUCGUAAAUGCCUCUCGCACGUCCCAACACGCUGGAGCAACAGCAGCCCGUGAUGCCGGCCGCGCAGCCGUGAAGUCCGUGGAGCGUCCCUAAUCACUGGGGGUUCUGCUUUGCGGUGACAGCGGUGCUACUCACAGCUCCAGAACUCUGCAGCUUCCCCCCUGAAACGGGAACGGGAAGGUGGCGCGGGCGUCCACACCUCGAGCCACAGCCGGCGGGAGGCACAGGCUGGCAAAACUGCCUCUCAGUAGUGAGAAGAGACAAACAAACCGAACGCCAGGAGCAGAGGAAACGAAGACGAUGUGGCCAAGAAAAAUUGCAUUUUUCUUUCCAGUUUUGCUAAAAUAGCCUUCUCAUUGGCUGCGGCUUUGGAGGUGGCAGAAAUCAUACGUUUAAUCACGGCGCCCUCCUGCUUGCCAAGCUUUGCGUCCUCCAGAAUUGUCCUGUGAGUGACUCCCGCAGGAUGGAGACUUUUGUGUCUGGCUUCCUUCACUUCGCAGCAGGCUUCGCGGGACCCGUGUGGUGGCACCAGCGUCCAGCCCUUGGUACUGCUGAGUUGUAGGUUGUGGGACAGGUGGAGGUACCACAGUUGCUCACGGGUUCACCUGUGGAUGGGCAUGUGGGCUGUUGUGAGUGAAGCCACUUCAGACGUUUGCGUGCAGGUUUGGUGGGGACGUGCAGUUUCAUUUCUUUUGAGAGUGGGAUUGCUGGAGCCUAUGUUAAGGGUACGUUCAACUCAUCAGCUCAACUGUCUUCCAAAUGGCAGCCCCGUUUUCCACCCCCGCCAGCAACGCCCGCGACUCCAGGCGCGCUGCAUUUUCAUCAGCACCUGGCAGUGGUGAUUCAUAAUGCUUUAAAUGUUAAUUUCCCUCAUGACUAGUGAUGUUAAACAUCUUAUUAAACAUCUUAGGUAUUA